rnacentral:rRNA from 1 species
GAUGAACGCUGGCGGCGUGCCUAAUACAUGCAAGUCGAGCGAACGGACGAGAAGUUUGCUUCUCUGAUGUUAGCGGCGGACGGGUGAGUACCACGUGGAUAACCUACCUAUAAGACUGGGAUAACUUCGGGAAACCGUAGCUAAUACCGGAUAAUAUUUUGAACCGCAUGGUUCAAAAGUGAAAGACGGUCUUGCUGUCCCUUAUAGAUGGUUCCGCGCUGCAUUAGCUAGUUGGUACGGUAACGGCUUACCAAGGCAACGAUGCAUAGCCGACCUGAGAGGAUGAUCGGCCACACUGGAACUGAGACACGGUCCAGACUCCUACGGGAGGCAGCAGUAGGGAAUCUUCCACAAUGGGCGAAAGCCUGACGGAGCAACGCCGCGUGAGUGAUGAAGGUCUUCGGAUCGUAAAACUCUGUUAUUAGGGAAGAACAUAUGUGUAAGUAACUGUGCACAUCUUGACGGUACCUAAUCAGAAAGCCACGGCUAACUACGUG